CCGACCGGGUCCAAGGACAUCGAGUUCAAAGACGGAAAACAGUAGCUCAGUCAUCGAGCAGCUGAGGCCCCUCCCAGGAAAGCGUCCCUGAACCAUCAACCGCCUGGGCAUCCGCGGUGCCACGUUACAGCUGGAUGAAAGGCCCGGGGAGCUCGCGGCCCCAGGGCUGAACAGGCACCUGCGUCUGUGCAGUGGCCGCCCCGCUGCACCGCCAGGACGCUGGCUGCGUGAGCUCCCGCCCCCGAUGGAGAUGUGGAGGAGCAGAGACCGGCCUCUCAGCUGAUUUGGGGUCUGGGUGGCUGGACCGAGAGGCCCGGGGUCCCAAACCUCCUUUGAAGAGCUACAUCUUCAGUCACAGGACCCAGAGGAAGGAGUCCCCGAGUGGGGAGGAGGUGGGGCAGGGGCCACAGGGUCCACGGCCAGCGUGCCUGCGCGGCCGGUCUUCCCAACCACCUCUGUCCAGGGGAAGCCGCGUCUGCAGAGCCCACGACUGCACCUGCAGCGUGGGGGCUGCUGGGUAAUUAUUCACCAAAAGGAUGAACCUGAUGGCCUAAUGUAUGAGACAUUUUGAAUGUUUUCUGUUUCAUUUCUUCUUUGAAAGAGGACCGAGCAGCUGAGACAGGGAAGGAAAGAAAGGACCCGUUUCUGUGUGGAAUCCACCCCUCCAGCCUCCCCCACAUCCCGCAGGGAUGUAGGCACUUCUGAAUGUCUCAUCACAAUGUUGGUUGAUUUGUAGUCAAUUACCAUUUGAGAAAUAUGUUCUGGGAGUUUUUAUUUUUUAAAAUUAUCUAAACACUGACAUUUAUAAAAAGACAGAGAGCAUUUUUCUGUCUCAGCCACAGUAAUGAGGCGCUGCCCUCGGCCAAACGCUUUGUGUCAGCCUUAAAUGACAUCAGAGCUUUUGAUAUUAUCCGCUCAAUCAUAGCCUGUCCCGUCCCAAUUGGGAAGGUAUUGUCCUGUAAAAUCUCCCUCCUGAGCCAGGAUUUCCUUUCUUCUUUUGAAUUCAGGGUAAAUUCUAGCUCAACAAACAGCUGUGAAAUCUGGAAUCUCCCAUUUCUGUUUUAAAAUGAGGGUCUCUCUUUGUGAGGCUGGAUUCACAAAACUGGCCUCAACCGCUUUGGGCCUCUCACUAAUAUAUUUGCAAAUGAGAAGAGAAUUGGCACAUGGGGCUCCAAUUUGUCCUGCCAGUCACCCAGCGUCUCCUCCCCACAUUCCUAACCAGACGGAUUUUAGAUCCGCUAGCAGCUUUCAGCCUCAGCUCAGUGAACCCCAGCCACGCGGGUGGGGUGGGGAAGGGAUGCCUGCCUGCCUCACAGGCCUCUGGGGGAGACCUGAGGGGGCUGGGUCCACAUUCUGUGCUCAGAACCGGAACCAGGGAGGAAUGCGAAGGGCAGAUAAUGGGGGCCAAAGGGCUUCAUUCUGUGCCAGGGUGCUCCUGCCUAGAGCCCAGCUCGACCCAGGGUGAAGCACAAUCUACCAGAAAAGAGGUGGUGAGACGGUGGCGAGCAUCUCAUUCGAGGGUUUGUAGAAGCAGAGCUCAGCCGUGCUGCCCAGCACGUGGGCACGGGCAGGGUGGGGCGGCCCUGGGCCUGGCAGACCAGAUGCCUGAAGGCCUGAGUUCUGUUUGGUAGUCUGGUUGCUGUGACCAAAGGUGACCAGGCAGCCUCUCUGCGUGUCUACAUUUGUAAAAUGGAGACUGGUGAUAACUUGCUGCUUGUGAAAAAUCAGAGAAGCUCAUGGAUUUGAGAACAUUUAACAGAAAUUGCUCUAUGUGCAGUAUACACAAGUCACAGGUAAAUUACUAGAAAGACUCUUGUGUUACUGCUGAAAAAACGUUUAAGAUCAGUAAAACCAAUGAGUGUGACAAGGCGCACUCAUGUGCACCUUGAAAAAGGGCUAAGAGGGGAAACGUGCCCUCCCAGACACAGGGACACGGAGAACAGCUGUCUGGACCAGGGUGGUGCGGGGGGGAAAACAUUUGAACAGCACGGAAAGGAGAGUCCAGACUCAUUUCAAGUGAGUAAGGGGAACUGUAGAUUAUUUAAUAAACGGUGUUGAGAUAAUCAUUCAUCUAUUUGGGGGAAAAUUAGAUUCCAAUUCACAAUCUUUGCAAAAAUAAUUUUCAGAUAAAAAACGAAUGCUGUGAAAGAUUCUAAAACUGAUGAAUGAAAACACAUGAGAGAGUAUUUCAGUUUUCAGGGACAGGCAAGGCCUUCCUAAGCAAGACCCCAAAAAAGGCAAAGAAAUGAAGGACUGAUAAAUGGGGCCACGAAGGGUUGGUGGUGUUUAAUUUUUUUCCAGUAGACUUUUAUGGAAGCACCACAUACACAGAGAAAAGCUCUCGGAUCUGUGCCUUGCUCUGACCAGCGGGCACCGUGUAACUUGGAGAACACGCCUGGAGUUGUCACAGUCUUGGAGCGCUCCCUCUCAGAGGCCAGCUUGAGAAACCCAGUCAGAGGUGGGAGGAGUGGGGGGCUCUGCACCGCCGGCAGCCGGGCUCAGCCAUGGGUCUGUGAGUGCACCGCCUGGAACCUUCCAGCUCUUCCAGGACUGCGGCCUCCGCCCAGUGGAGUGCACCCGCAGAGACUGAGACUAACGCUUUGUUACUUUAAGUCAUGACGUUUUGGGGUGCUUUGUUACUGCGGUGAGAGCCCCGCCUGGGAGGCAUUUCGGGACCCUCCAUUCUAUCCAUUGGUGCAAAGCCCCACUUCUGCCAACACCCCGGCUUGGGGAGAUCCAGUGCUCCUCCGUCUACAGGAGAAGAGAGCAGACCAGGAGCGCACCCUCUGCCUUUAGGGCUGAUGCGC